AAAUGACAAUAAACAGAUAUAUAGUUCAGUAAAAGUGUUUAUUUCAUUUUAAAAAUGUUUUAGGAACAUACAGUCUAGGUGAACGUGCAAUAGAAGAAAGCAUAAAUUCAAUACAGUUAAAAUAUUUCUCAAAUUAAACAACAUAAUAAAAUAUAUUACAGUCCUAACUCCCAAAAGUUAAAAGUAAAAUGUGAACAAUGUCAAGUCAAUCCAUCUAGUACAAAUGAACAAGUACAAAUAAACAGUGCAAUGAAAUUCUGUUCCUCCGGAACCAAUACAGUGCAACAUGGAACAACAGUACAAUAUAGACAACAAUAAAGUAAAGAUGUUCAACAAAUUGUGCAACAUAGAACUAGAACACUCCUAUAAAUUCAGCAGACAUGAGACAAUAUAGUAGACAGGACAGUGCAGUACCAACACAUUACAGUCUAUUUGUGUGUAAGAAUAAGGUGUAGAGAUUUGUAACAUACUGUAACAGGUACAUGGUCACAGCAGGUAGAGAAUAUUAUUCAGAAUUAGCAGCAAAUAUUGCUAAUAGGGAUGGAAACAGUUUCAGUCACUGUGUAUUGAGAGUGUUUGUGUAUGUGAGGACUGAGGGGGUCAUCUACAAUGCAAAAGUAAAUAAAAAACAGAAUUAAAUCAUUUUCCAGUCGAAAUAAACAUACAUUUUAUUCACAAUAUAACUUGGAACACAAAUUACAUGUGAUUUCCAUGAUGUUCUAUUUGUGAAAGGUCUGGAGGGCAGGCAGGUAAGUUCAGCAUCCUAGCUCUUCUUCUGUGAAGCCAUGCUGCUCUAAUGGGUAAAGUAUGUGAUUUAGCAUUAUCUUACUGUCCAAUAUCCAAUGCCUUUCCUUAAAAAAAUGUUGUCUGGAUAGGCACAGAUGUUCUUCUAAAACUCCUCUAUACUGUUCAUAAUCUGUCGUAAUCUGUCUCUAUGUGUGUCUAUCUGCAAGGCUGCAGGCUACCACCAUCCGACCGUCCCAGGGCGUUAAAUAUAACACAGGCAUUCGCUUUCGGAACGAAGAAUUUGCGUGCAGUGAAAAUGAUAGAGUCCUACCUUUCAACAUAGAGCCAAUCAGCUUGCUGGUAAAGCUGGAAGAGGAGGAGGGACAAGGUGGCACUAUUGGAAAAAAGCCCCUAAUGGAUGUAAUUGUGGUUGGUGGGUCCUGGGUCACCCUGUCAGUCAACUGUGGAGCUUCAAAAGCGGCAAAGGUAAGCAGGGAAACUGUGCCACUCACAGGCUUACACAGGAAAAGUUGAUGUGGACAGACUUAAGUGUACCAA
rnacentral:lncRNA from 1 species